rnacentral:lncRNA from 1 species
UUUUUUUUUUUCCUUUUGCUUUUUAGGGCUACACCUAUGGAAUAUGGAGGUUCCCAGGCUAGGAGUCAAAUCAGAGCUAUAGCUGCUGGCCUAUGCCACAGCCACAGCAACACAGGAUCCAAGUCAAACAAUCCAAACAAUUUAUUUGUUUGGUAAGUUCUGCUAUUCCUGGGGGGAAAAAAAAUGGCCCAAAGGAGUUCCCGUCGUGGCGCAUGGUUAACGAAUCUGACUAAGCACUGUGAGGUUGCGGGUUUGAUCCCUGGCCUUGCUCAGUGGGUUGAUGAUCUGGCAUUGCCAUAAGCUGUGGUGUAGGUCGAAGACAUGGCUCAGAUCCCAGCUGCUGUGGCUCUGGCAUAGGCCGGUGGCUACAGCUCCAAUUAGACCCCUAGCCUGGGAACCUCCAUAUGCCAUGGGAGCAGCCCAAGAAAUGGCCAAAAAAAAAAGACAAAAAAAUGGCCCAAAGUAGAUAACUUAUUAAAGAAGGCACACAGCGCCUUCUUUUCUCCAGGUUCAUGGCAAUGAGCAGCCCACCCGUCACUCAGCAGUCUGCUUCCCUUCUGGAAGAUGCCCAGAGGCUCCAAGGCCCUUCCUGACACUCUUCCUUAACCACACCAGGUAUUCUAGAAACAAAACACCAAACACAAGAAUGAUUUCCCAUUCCUCCUCUACUACCCCCCCCCAAAAAAACUCUUCCUAGGAGAGAGAAGCCUUUGACAAGGAAAGUCUUCAAUAAACAAAUAAAGCAGGGGUUUUUUUGUUUUUGCUUUUGUUUUUUUAACUCUCAAGUCAUUAAGAAGUAGAUAUCACUUUCAAAAGGUAAUGAGAAUUAGGCCUUUUUUUCCCCCAUUCACUCUACCGAAAGCCAUUAGUAGUUGCAAAUGGAUUAGCCUAAAUUGUCUCAUCACAUUUUCUGUACCACAAUCUAGGAAAUGCAAAGUUGCAGGGGUGAAGGGGGAAGGCGCAUGCCCCCUGGGCGGGCAGGAUUCUUCCGCUGAAAAAAGGGUGAGCCAGUGGGUUCUCCAGAGGGGUGACCACCCCCAGGGAGUGGCUGUUUAUGUAUAUAACAGACACCCCACUCCGGCUAAUUACAUAAACCUGUUAGCUGCAGAGACGCUGCUGAUCCCCAUGCACCAGGACGCAGGUUCAAUCCCCAGCCCCGCACAGUGGGUUAAAAGAUCCGGCAUUGCCACAGCUGCAGUGCAGAUCUGAUCCCUGGCCCAGGAACUCCAUAUGCCUCGGGGCAGCCAAAAAAACAAACAAAAAAAACAAACCAAACCAAACCUGUUUGCUGCCACUGUUACUUGACCAUUUCUUUGGCCAGCGUCUCCCUCUUCCUAUGUUAACAACAAAUGAGUAAGUGGACAAGGUGUGUUCAAACUCCGCUGAGAUUCUGUUGUUUCUGUGUCUAUUUUGUCUGAAGACACUGUGGAGAAGCAGCCUAUUGGCAACACCUUGUACAGCUAUAGAGUUUCCAGACUUGGGCUCUCAAGAAUAUUUCAAUAUUUUAAUAUUUUAUUAUUGUUUAUAUGAAAAUUCCUUACAUCGUAAAUGCUUAAAAGUUCAUCAUUGGCCAAAUCCACAAGAAACUGGUGUGUUUUCUCAUUUCUGCUUCAGAGACAAGGACAUAAGUGAUCAGGUGGCAAGGCAGGAUGAAUAAUGCUGAUUCCCGUUUCACAGUUUCCAAAAAGGAACACGCAGAGGGAAGAAUAUGGGCUUUGCUUUCUCAGAAGCAGGUGUCCUGUGCCCUGUGUCCCAGACCAGUCUUGCCCAGUUUUCACUGGCUGUGUGAUCUUGGGCAAGUUACUUAACUGCUCUGAGCCUCCAUUAUUGCCUUGAUGUAUCUACCUUGUGAAAAGUCAGCUAGGUUAAUUGCACAAGAUAAUUAGCAUGGGAGUUCCUGUCGUGUCUCAGCAGUAACAAACCCAUCUAGGAUCCAUGAGGAUGCGAGUUUGAUCCCUGGCCUUGCUCGGUGAGUUAAGGAUCUGGCAUUGCCAUGAGCUGUGGUGUAGGCUGGCAGCUAUAGGUCUGAUUCGAGCCCUAGCCUGGAAACUUACAGAUGCUGCAGAUACGGCCCUAAAAAGCAAAAAUACAAAAUAAAAUAAAACAAUCGAAAAUAAUUAGUGUGAUAUUAAUAGACGGUAGCAAUUAUUAUGAUUAGACCCGCAAGAAAGAAGGAGGCAGAACUUCCAUAUACAGCUGGUUCCGUCACUCUGUUAGAACUGGCUGGCCUUCCAUGCUAUGUGGCAUGAAGAACUGGGGUCUCAACCAUCUACUUUUUUUUCACCCACAUCCUGCAGAAGUUCCUGGGCCUGGGAGUUCUCUUGUGGUGCAGUAAGUUAAGGAUCUGGUGUGGUCAUUGCUGUGGCACGGGUUUGAUCCCUGGCCCAGGAACUUCCGCUGUGUGCAGCCAAAAACAACAACAACAAAAAAAACAGAAGUUCCCAGGCCUGGGAUCAAACUCACAAACCCACUCCACAGCAGUGACCCAAGCCACAACAAUGACAACACUGGAUACUUACUGAGCCACCAGGGAACUCCCUCAACCGUCUACUUUUAGUUCAAGAGAGAUCAUUUUAACCCCAUUCAAAGGCACUCCUCAUCAUCCUCUAUUAAAAUGGAAAAGAGAAAACGACACGCUCAAAAGACAAUCUCUUAUUUAUACACAUGUUUAUGGUAGAAUGAGACAGAUUGCUUUUUGCAAUGGUCGUUGGUUUCCUUUGAAGCAUCUGUUCCACCUCAUUCCAAUACCCGUCGUGAAGACUGGCUAUCAUUCCGCCCCAUGUCCAGGGUGGGUCCUGGUCGGCCGGUGCCUGGCAGUUUAAUUAUUGGCUCAGGGAGGAGGCUGUGACCCAAGCUCAGGGAACCACAGGGAGGUCCAGGAUUUUGUUUAAAGGUUGAAGAGAGAAGAAAUCUCUCUUUCUCUGGAGAGGUGUGAAUUGGACAUGAAAAGCUGGGAGCUGCUGCCACCAUGCCUACCCUGAGAGAAUCCCAGUGGAGAAGGAAACUAACCAUCAGAGAAGGGCAAAGCCAAGUCACCUCGGAGACACAGAGCCGGGGAGCUGAUCAAAGCACUUCUGAAACAGAAUGUUGGGCUUUUCAACUUCUUGAGUCAACAAAUACCUUUAAGCCGAUUUAGCACUGGGUCAGGCAGUACGCGUGGCCCAACAUAUCUUAUCUGUUUCGGCUCCAUUGGGAAUCACUAUUACGUAAUGACCCUCUGUUCCGGGGUGAUGGAUAAAACCCCAUUACAAAUGUUCCCGCAGCUUCUGGAAAAUCCAUCUUGAAGACAUUGUUGCUAUUGUCCGUUGUCCUUUCUUUCUUUUUUUUUUUUUUGCUUUUUAGGGCCGCACCUGUGGUAUAUGGAAGUUGCCAGACUAGGGGUCGAAUGGGAGCUAUGGCUGCCGGUUUACACCACAGCCACAGCAAUGCCGGAUCCUUAACCCACUGAGUGAUGCCCAGGAUCAAAUCCAUAUCCUCAUGGAUACUAGUCAGGUUCAUAACCCGCUGAGCCCCAACGGGAACCCCCAUUUACUAUCGCCCUUUUAACUGGAGUUCCCGUAGUAAAUUAACCCUCUGAAUCUCAUGUUAGAGAGGAACAAUGGUCACGUCUAGGGAAUCGACAUGCUCUCAUUUUUCAAACUAUCAGAUCCUUAUAUUUCUUCUUGCCUCAACUGUCUGGAAGAGCAGAGAUCCUUAAUGUUGUCAGGUUUGGAGAGUGAUGGGUCCCUUGGCCACGUGGGAAGAUAGGAAGAUGGAGCAGGCUGAGCACAUAGUAGGCUGGGACCCCAAUGCCAACUGAGCCUGAAGGAGCAGCCCAGGUCCUGGCCACACCUGAGUGGACAGAAGGUUCAGAUGGGGAGUGAGGGCGCUCAAAGAGCAGCUCAGACAGGGUCCAGCACGGAGUAGACCCUCACUAAAUAACAGUUCUCUCCCAGGGCAGCAUUUCUGAAAAAUGAGCAAGAUCACUGCAUCAGAUCACUCCUGAAGACUCCAGGACAGUGGCUAAGAAUGAAGAUUCCUGGGCCUCAAUCUAGGUCUAUUAAAGUUGCCAUGGGGGAGUCUUGGGAAAUCUAUACAUUCAGUGAGCUCCUCAAAUUCUAAAUGUCCUAAGCCUGCCUGCCCCUAAGACUAACCCAGGACACUCUUUAGUGCACAGACCCGUGUCCCUCCCAGAAGUCGUGAAUCAGUCUCCAAGGUAAGCGGCGAGGAAUAUUUACAGUUAACCAACACCCGAGGAAAUUCUUUUUUGUUUGUUUGUUUUUGGCUUUUUAAGGCUGCACCUGUGGCAUAUAGAAGUUCCCAGGCUAGGGGUCAAAUGGGAGCUACAGCUGCUGGCCUACACCACAGAACACCACCAGAUCUUUAACCAGCUGAGCAAAACCAGGGAUCAAACCCAUGUCCUCAUGGAUACGAGUCAGGUUCGUUACCACUGAGCCACAGUGGGAACUCCCGCCCCAGAAAAUCCUUAUGAUCAAGUUCAUUUAGGAAAAUCUUCCAGAAGAUACUAGAAAUCCACCAGCACUAGAGUCCAAAGGGCUCUCUCAGCCCAGGUGUGCUGGGCAGCAGGGAGGUCCAGCAGGAUCACGCGGCACUGGAAGGUGUAAUUAGGUCAUCAUCUCCAAGUUCAAGAUGGCAAGCAUCCCUCUACCUCCCACCCCUGUUGGGUCCAGUCCCAGCCUACUGAUGGUUUCCAGCAUCAGGACCAGCUACCCAAGCUGGGCCAACCCAAGCCAGCUAACAGGAGGCAUUUGCCUGCCGUGGCCCUUAGAGCCCCGUCUCCUCCUCUUCCCUUACUAUUGCAUGUCGACCAUGGCUGCUUUAAGUCAUCCGAAGAGCUUUGAAUAAAAUCAAAGCAGGGGUCCAGCUCCACCAAUUCAAUCAGAAUGGCAGGGGCUGAGGCAACUGAUGUUAUUACACCGCCAAUCCCCGUCCAGAUGGUUCUCACGGGCAGCCGCGGCUGGGAAACGUGCAUUGUCACCCCUCCCUCUCUCUGAUUUUAUUGUCUGCUGCCCCACCUCAGCAUCUUUAUUUAAAAAUAUCCUCUUUAACUAUUGUUGCAAAGGGGCGGGAGAAUACAUCUAAAGCAGUUUACUUGGCUCAUUAAUUCAGUCAAACAGUCAGUGAGUUUAUUUUUUAAACAUCCAACAUGCAGAGGAGUAAGCUUUUUUUAAAUCCUUUCUCGGUGACGGAAUCUAAAUCAUAAGCAUUUUGGAAUUCAGAAGUAUGGAUGAGCUUACCGCUGUAGCAGUUAGUUCAUAGUUAGCAUUGGUA